rnacentral:rRNA from 1 species
GCUUGUCUCAAAGAUUAAGCCAUGCAUGUUCAAGUAUAGCAAGUGUACAGUGAAACUGCGAAUGGCUCAUUAAAUCAGUUAUAAUUUAUUUGAUAGUGAAAUUGUACAUGGAUAACCGUGGCAAUUCUAGGGCUAAUACAUGCGUCAAUGGUCGGUCGACCAGUAUUUAUUAGAUUGAAACCAAUGCGGGUUCGCCCGGUAUUUGGUGAUUCAUAAUAACUUUCGGAUCGACUUCGGUCGAUGCAUCAUUCAAGUUUCUGCCCUAUCAGCUUUGGAUGGUAGGGUAUUGGCCUACCAUGGCUUUAACGGGUAACGGAGAAUUAGGGUUCGAUUCCGGAGAGGGAGCCUGAGAAAUGGCUACCACAUCCAAGGAAGGCAGCAGG